rnacentral:rRNA from 1 species
UACGUAGGGUGCUAGCGUUGUCCGGAUUUAUUGGGCGUAAAGAGCGUGUAGGCGGCCAGGUAGGUCUGCUGUGAAAACUCGAGGCUCAACCUCGAGACGUCGGCGGAAACCAUCUGGCUAGAGUCCGGAAGAGGAGAGUGGAAUUCCUGGUGUAGCGGUGAAAUGCGCAGAUAUCAGGAGGAACACCGGUGGCGAAGGCGGCAUCCUGGACCGGUAUUGACGCUGAGGCGCGAAAGCUAGGGGAGCAAACGGG